GAUCAUGGCUCAGGAUGAACGCUAGCGACAGGCUUAACACAUGCAAGUCGAGGGGCAGCACGGUGUAGCGAUACACUGGUGGCGACCGGCGCACGGGUGAGUAACACGUGUGCAACCAACCCCGUACCGGGAGAUAACCCGCGGAAACGUGGACUAACAUCCCAUGACACUCUAGAGCCGCAUGGCUCUAGAUUUAAAAUUCCGGUGGUACGGGACGGGCACGCGCGACAUUAGGUAGUUGGCGGGGUAAGGG
rnacentral:rRNA from 1 species